rnacentral:lncRNA from 1 species
GCCCAGCCACAACACACACCUGCCUCUGGGAUGGUGUCUGCAGGAAGAACUGCUCCUCUGUUACAGGAAUGGAAGAGCCUUCAAAGGGUCAUGAAGAGAGGUUGUUCAUGGGUCUCUACAUCCCAGGCAAAGAUGAACUCCUGGCCUUUUCGUGGAAGCACAAGGACAGUCUCAGGUAUCUUCUGGGCUAGAGAAGAAAACUUCUUACCCUCCUUGAUCAGCCAGGCCCCUUGAAAGGUGGGCUUCCUUGAUGGAUGAAUUCACCAGAGCUUGCUGCAUCAUUGUCUGUAACCCUGGUGACAGUUCACAUUGCUGCUAGCCAUGGAGGAGGAGGA